rnacentral:misc_RNA from 1 species
CCAUUAACUGGGACUACAAUAGCUCAAGUUUGAUCACAAAACAUACUGUUAACCACACUAGAUCGCUUUGCUAGCUGUUGGGGCAACAGAACCUACAGAGCUUUGCCAGAGUCAAAGUUAUCAAAAAUCAUAAUUGCCCAUAAUCAAUUUCGAAAUGUAUGAAUUAUGCACUACUCUGGAAAAGUAUAUAUUUGUCAUCAAAUGUUCAAAUGCAGGUUCAUUUUUCAAUUUCUCUUUGGUCAAUUCAUUCUACCAUUGCAGACAAGUUCACAAUGGCUUGGGAUGAUGGUGAGUGCCAGCAUAAAACCCCUGUGCAUAAGCAGUAUUCUUGAACAUUAUAGCAAGGCUUUUCAAAUCUGAGCUAAGACGCUUUUUAAUAUUGUCAGCAACCACGGUUCCAAGAUGUUCACCAUGUUGCCUGAUAGAGUCCUCUUUAAUCUCUGACAGCAGAAGACUGGAAGUUCUAUUCAGAAUCUCUUCCACAAGAAGCCCAGCAUCUGAGAAAACACUUGGCUGAUGUGCAGCAACAGCUAGCUUGUCUUUAACAUUUUUUACAGCAACAGGUACCUUGGUAGUUUUUACUGUAGUAGCUGUGGACUUCUUAAAGGCAGAAACAGGAUUUUCAGUAUGACCUUGCAAGGGAACAGUCUUUUCCGGAGGAUCAGACAGAAUAGUGGAACCAGAUGGAACAAAAGCUGCCAGAUCAGGAGGUUGGUUGAUCCUUUCCUACUGGUGGAUUAGCCUCCAGGUCAACGAAUGUGGCCUCUCUCCCCACUGACUUAAGAAACUUGUCAAGAUCAUUAGCAUGAAGAGAAAUUGACAUAUCAUUAGAUAGUGGAUGGAAGAAGCAAUGCUCUUGUGUUCUAAAUCCUUUGUCCAGCAAGAGUGACACAUGUCUUGCUGACUCAUUCACCAGUGCAAAAGGAGUAACACAACCCAGAGGAACCUGAAGUAUCUCACCCAAUGCUUCUUCAGGAGCCAUUCUUAUACCUCCUUUUCCCAAACCAAGCCUUUGAGAUAAAACUUUCAUGUCUACUUUCGUAUCUGCCAAAGCAGAAACAAUAUAUAAUCUACUUUUCUUGUCCUUCAAGAAUAAAUUUUUAGUCAGUCCACCUCCCUUAUCACCCACAUAUUUCGCCUGGGCUUCAACAGUCAAAACGGUGGGAUGUUCAUACUGAGCAAAAUCAAUUUGAAGCUCCUUUAAGCGAGCAAGUAGCUGAUCCUUCGUAUAACCCAUACCGUCCUUCGAAGUAAAUCUGCUUGAUGAACCAGAGAGGCCGAAGAAGCGUUAGCAACGAAGAAGAAACGUAGAAGCGGAGGACACAGAAAC